UGGCUCUCGGUGUGUGCCCUUCGGAUGGUCUGCUGAAGAGGGCCGCCAGCUGACAGCAAAGAACAAACAGAAUGGCAGAUUGCUAAUGUUUGAUCCAAACGAAAAAGUGAUGAUUGAAUCAAACGAAGCAAUGUCAGAGAAGGAAGUCCCUUCUAAGAAUAUUGCAAAUAAAGUCUCUUUACAGACUACUGAAAAUAGAGUAUCUUCAAGGAGUAUCGAAAGUAAAGAUAUCUUAACAAAUCUACAGUCUGACCUAUUGUCAUCUUCCUGCUUAAAAGAAAGCACAGGUAA
rnacentral:lncRNA from 1 species